UUAACAAUAAAAAGAAAGAAGAAUAAGCUGUUCUUCGAUUUGGGAUUUUUCGAAAAUACCGAGGAGAGGCAGCUGCCCUGUACAUUCCAGAAAAAAAGACAGAGACGAGAAAAUCGAGCGUUAUCGCUCGAGCUCAUGGCUGGAUGUAACGAUUGGACGCAAUGUAAAUGCGAUUCUGGGAAUCACGGUCGUCUCGCAGUUGUAUCGCGUUGCAGGCUUUGCGUAACGCGCGCGUCUGACUCAUUGGCAAAUAAAAUCACGAGCGAGCAAUUAUUUAUGUUCCGCGUGGUUCAACAAAAUCACACCGUUCCGUGUAACAUUCUUCGCUCGUGGUGAUAUAUAAUAAUAAUAUAAAUAAAAUAAAUUCGUAUCGACUGCGUAUAAAAUUUAAUAAUGAACGACGAUGAUAGGUAUGGAGUAAAGGAUGAUCUUCAACAAAUGUGAAAACAGAUGACACAUUGAUGAGAAAUUUGUUGGCUGAUCCGUGUUUAAUUAAGUUUGGUCGAUGUCUGAUUCAUCGUGGUACUUUCACAGACAGUUGAUGGAAACGUUCGGGCAAACAGGGAGUAUUGUCAUUUUCACUUCAGUAGAUGGUUUUCACAUUAUUAAUUGUUUAUACCGUUCAAAAGUGAAGAUUUAGUAAUUCACGGGAUUGGAAAUGGGAAUAUUUUUACAGACUGGCUGGUUUAUUUUCCAUUCGUUUAAUGUACAACACGAUUCGAAUAAUCAUCGAUCAGCAUAUCAACAUGGACAUAAAUAACGCACUGCUACACAUGUGUGCAUGACAUACCGAGUAAUUUAUCCUUUAUGUAACCUGCACUACGCGAUAAUGCCCAUUAAUCUUCAGAGGAAAAACUGGAUAUAUAUUCAAGAGACGUUGAAUAUGUAAUAAUAAUUGUAGAACACUUUGAAAACACAGUCCCGUGUGUGUUGAAAUUGCAUCGCAGGCUUUUGUGCGUUUACGAGAAACGUUUGCGACACGCGCAUUUAAAGAAAAUAAAUAAAUAAAUGGUGAUAUUAAGAUUAAAACGAAAAGAAUAAUAAUAAUGAACUAAUAAAAGUAAACUGGAAAUGUGAUUUUUUGUAAAAACUGACAACCUAGAUGGUCACAACGUCUGGACACCAAGUUCGGCGAUGAAUGAAGAAGAGAACCGAGGUUUCUCUCAAUCUUUUAUUAUGAAAAAAAAAAAAAAACUCUUAUGUACAUAUGGAUCACUUUUCUUCGCGCCAGUGUAUAAGUAAAUGUCUAUGUACGUCAUAA